rnacentral:rRNA from 1 species
UGUAAACCUAUUUAUCUUGGCGGCAAUAAACCUUAUUAAAGGAACUUGUUUAAUAAUCGAUAGUCCACGUUUAAUUUUACUUUAAUUAAAAAUUUAUAUACCGCCGUUUUUGAAUUUAUUUAUUUAAAUAAUUCUAAAUAAUUAAUAAUAAAAUAGGUCAAGGUGUAAUUUAUAUUUCAGAAUAAAUGAGUUACAUUAAAAGUUAUUUAAAGAUUAAUUAAUCAUAAUUAAUUAUGAAAAAGGAUUUAUAUGUAAUAUUUUAAUAAAAAUUAAAUAUGAAUUAGAUAAUAAUUGUGUACAC